rnacentral:tRNA from 1 species
GCCCUCGUAGUUCAAUGGACAGAACAGCGCUCUUCUAAGGCGCGAAUGUGGGUUCGAUUCCUACCGAGGGCGCAA